AGUGAACGCUGGCGGUAGGCCUAACACAUGCAAGUCGAACGGCAGCACAGUAAGAGCUUGCUCUUACGGGUGGCGAGUGGCGGACGGGUGAGGAAUACAUCGGAAUCUACUUUUUCGUGGGGGAUAACGUAGGGAAACUUACGCUAAUACCGCAUACGACCUACGGGUGAAAGCAGGGGAUCUUCGGACCUUGCGCGAUUGAAUGAGCCGAUGUCGGAUUAGCUAGUUGGCGGGGUAAAGGCCCACCAAGGCGACGAUCCGUAGCUGGUCUGAGAGGAUGAUCCGCCACACUGGAACUGAGACACGGUCCAGACCCCUCCGGGAGGCAGCAGUGGGGAAUAUUGGACAAUGGGCGCAAGCCUGAUCCAGCCAUCCCGCGUGGGUGAAGAAGGCCUUCGGGUUGUAAAGCCCUUUUGUUGGGAAAGAAAAGCAGCAGGUUAAUACCCCGCUGUUCUGACGGUACCCAAAGAAUAAGCACCGGCUAACUUCGUG
rnacentral:rRNA from 1 species